rnacentral:rRNA from 1 species
CAAAAACAUAGCCUCUUGUACCGUUAUAAGAGGUACCUCCUGCCCAGUGACUAAGUUCAACGGCCGCGGUAUCCUAACCGUGCAAAGGUAGCAUAAUCACUUGCCUAUUAAUUGUAGGCUAGAAUGAACGGAUAAACGAAAUAUUGACUGUCUCGAUUAGACCCAUAAAAACUAAAAUCUAACUGAAGAUUGUUAGAUAAACUUGAAGGACAAGAAGACCCUAUAGAGCUUAAUUUAAAUAUAAAGCAACAUUUAUAGUAAAAUUCGGUUGGGGCGACCAAGGGAAUAAACACCCUUAAUAUAUAGACACAUAAGUCCAUAAAUUGACCCUUAAACAAGAUCAAAAGAACAAGCUACCUUAGGGAUAACAGGCUAAUCUCUCUAAAGAGUCCUUAUCUAUAGUGAGGGUUGGCACCUCGAUGUUGGCUUAGGGUAUCUUUAAGGCGCAAAAGUCAUAAAAAGAUGGUUUGUUCAACCAAUAACACCCUACGUGAUCUGA